rnacentral:lncRNA from 1 species
GGUCACAUAGCAACUCAAGAAGGUCUUUUCUCAUUGGUUGUAAUGGGGCUAAGGACCAUUCAUUAUGUUGGCAAGAUCCUAGGGGUCCUAAGCUCAAACAGUGAAACUCAAAGUGCGCACAUCUAAUCCAAACCAUCAUCCACAGUUUCAAGUUCAUAGAGAAAGAAAGAAAGCAACUAAACUUUGGGAAAAACUCCAACAAUAACAAUGAUACUACAUGCUCAACUCAAACUGGUGCAAUAUCUUUUUUUUUCUUUUUUUUUUUUUCGUUUUUUUCUUUUUUUUCUUUUUUUUCUACAGCACCUUUCCUUUUUAAUCAACAUGCAAUCAUCAUCUACAAAAUAUCCCCACAAAUCGUCUCCCAAAACUGCUCCCAUCCCAAAAAACUGAACUGAUCAAUGCCACUGUUUGGCCAAACGGAUCAUAGAUCCUUAUCAUUUUACACAAGACAGCAGUUUGGGCAAACGGCACAUGUAAACACAGCUUAACUUUCUCUAGUAAUUAAUGGAAUGAAGUUCAAAAUUAGAC